rnacentral:rRNA from 1 species
CAGCCGCCGCGGUAAUACCGGCGGCCCGAGUGGCGGCCACUAUUAUUGGGCUUAAAGCGUCCGUAGCCGGGUUGGUUAGUCUCCCGGGAAAUCUGGCCGCUUAACGGUCAGAAUUCCGGGAGAUACUGCCAGCCUAGGGACCGGGAGAGGCCGAGGGUAUUCCCGGAGUAGGGGUGAAAUCCUAUAAUCCCGGGAGGACCACCUGUGGCGAAGGCGCUCGGCUGGAACGGGUCCGACGGUGAGGGACGAAGGCCAGGGGAGCAAACCGGAUUAGAUACCCGGGUAGUCCUGGCUGUAAACGAUGCGGACUAGGUGUCGGGCAAGCUAAGGGCUUGUCCGGUGCCGCAGGGAAGCCGUUAAGUCCGCCGCCUGGGGAGUACGGCCGCAAGGCUGAAACUUAAAGGAAUUGGCGGG